UUCAUAUAAUUCAUCUCCUUGACCAAAAUAAUUAUAGGACACCCCAGAGUUCAACUGUCAACUCUGAUCAGGUUGUCCACAUUGUAUUUCAAAAUAUCAAAUCCAUCUGAUGGAUUAUCCUAGCCAAGGUUUUGCUAAAUUGAAAUACAGCGACUCAUUCUUCUCCAACUCUUGGAGUGGUCAAUCCCAUCUCGAUCACACUCUGACUUCGUAAGUACUUGACUGUGCCCA
rnacentral:lncRNA from 1 species